CAGGCGGGGUCCAGGCCUCUCUCUGACGAGCUCAUGGCCCCACACUGCCGCUGGAGGACGUCACGCUCUGGUCCGGCUGUCUUCAUAAUGAAGCCGGAGGUUGCCUUCUUCGGAAACUAGACCACACUGGCCCCCUGGACGUGGCGCUGGCCUCUUGCAGCGCAGGCCAGCGGGGAACCGGCUCCGCGUUGCGGACUUCGAUGCAGCAGGCUGUGCGGGAAGUGGGCACGCUCAGCGCACGGCUGUGUUUGCAAAGCACGGCCUCCCGCUCCGGGCCGUGCCCAGGUCCAGUGGGCUUUCCUCACUCGGGAGGGAGCUCUGGGCGCACGACGCUGGGCUUUGCGACAGCAGCUUUGCCAGCUUCCUGGUGAUCUCGGGGCGAAGCACUGAGCACGGACAUAAAACCCAGAGCUGUCAGCCCCUUCCUGCUUUGGCGACGGAGGCGGAGACUGUCAAGGGCGAAGCAACUCCUCAGGGCAAACCGCGGGGCCUGCACGCCCUCCCCACAGGCUGGGCUGUCUGUGCGUUCGUUCCUUCGUGCCAGCCACCUCCAGCAGCGCCGUCUGAGUCUGCCGGUCAGUGUUUUAUGGAUCCAGGCCAACAAAACCAAACCACAACAACAAGGCGGCUGCUCAGGAAGGGUCAGCCCCACUCACGCUUCCCAGUGGCGCGGAAUUUAGGAGGCAGCAGAGCAAACCCUUAUCAGAAAGCUGUGAAACCUUGCAAGACCCAGGGCGUGUAGUUCUGGUGACCCCUCUUGGAGAAAUUUCUAGAAUAUGACCGAGAAUCUCCAGAAUUUCUAGAAUAUGACCGAGACAAAAAGUGGAUCGAAAGCAUUGAAGUCAUUUAAGUAAAUUCAGGGAUCUGCUGGCAGACCUGGAAGGGCUAAGAGGUAUCUGGGCUCUGGAAGAAAUGGGCAGCUCGCUCUCUCAGGCCUUUUCUGCAAGUCCACGAGAGGCUCCUAUUUUCUAAUCACUGGCUCUUCCACAGGGGCAGCUGGAGAAGCAAACCCAGAGAUGUACCUUUGUCAAGAAGGCAUUAGCAGAUAGAUCUGUAUCCCUUGUUUUGAAUUUCCUGGUCGUGGGACUCCGGUUUCUUUAUGACCACAGCAGCCAUCCUGGGCUCCAAACUCACCUUCCACAGGCACAGCAGUGGAUGAGACCAGCAGGGUCCCCGCUUCCAUGGGCUUCUGGUCUAGAGGUGAAAGUGAGGGGUGGAGUCGCUGGAGAGACAUGAAGCAUCCACAAGCCCUGAGUCACCAGAGGGCAUCAGCUGUAAGUGAAACGUCAAGGACUGCUGCGGGGGCAGGGCCAUGGGUGGCCUCAUGGGGUGGCCUUCCUGUUCUGAUUCUGCCUCUGUCACAUGUGAGGCCCCGACUGCAGCGAAUUCCAGCCGGGGACCCGGGGCUCAGUUCAGUCUCACCUUGAAAGCCCUACAAGUACCUGGCUAGGACUCAGCCAGCCAGCAGCUCUGGGAACUCAGUCGCCGCUAUUGUUUCUGUCUGGGUUGCUGCUGUGUCUUCCAUUUCCUGGCCGGUGUGAUAAAGCCCACGCUGCCUUAGCAGGGCGAGGGAGAGAUUAAUGUGUUCAUCCACGUGUUAAAACCUGGGAUCUGGAGAAACGCUGUGAAGAAGGACUUUUAACAAUGAUGAUGAUAAGAAAACCGUCCGUCUGCAGUCAGUUGUUGGUGAAAAUCCUCCUGGAGACCAUUUGGAAGCCUUGAGGAAGGACUCUGUUCUUCCUUCCAUCAAGUAACAAUAAUUCUGCAGCUGUCUGAUGCAGAAUGCUACACGAGGCGUCCAUCUCAAUUGCUUCCUGUCUCCCAGUCCAAGCACCCAGCGGGCACCCCAUUCCCAGCUGACGCAAGCCAGCUUGGUUAGCAUUCCAGAGAGAACAAGCCAAGUAUAUCCUCCUGAAGACUGAAGGAAUUUCUUUGGGGGAAUAACUGAGGCCAAGCAGUUUAUUUUAUAGAUAAAAAUACCUGAGAGCAGAGAGACCAAGGGAUUCCUGAUAUUUGCAG
ensembl:lncRNA